rnacentral:tRNA from 1 species
GAGGAAGUGCCUGAAUAAAAGGGUUAUUUUGAUAGAAUAAAUCAUGUAAAACUUACCUUUCUUU